ACAUUGGCAGUUCAGUGGUAGAAUUCUUGCUUUCCAUGUGGGAGACCAGAGUUUGAUUCCUGGCCAAUGUA
rnacentral:tRNA from 1 species